rnacentral:lncRNA from 1 species
GCAGCAAGAGUAGUAGUGGUCUCCUUCCUUACUGGGACCACGCUCUGAAGACCAUUCAUCCAAGCAAGCCCCUUUGUCUAGCAAACACCUUCUGCUCCUUCAAGUCUCAUCUGAAGCACCACCUCCUCCAGGAAGCCUCCCUGACGUUCCUGCCUGGGUAGCUGCUCCAUGGGGCUCCCACAGCACACCACUGUCACACUGCACUGUCACCAUCUGCUGCUUCUCAAUGUCCUUGACUGAACUGGUAGCUCCUCAAGGGACAGGAUGAACCAGUCACACAGCUCCUCUCCAAAGAGCGCCCGGCAGAGAAGGCAGCUGGGAGCGACGAAGGAGGGAGCAGCAGGUGCUUCGAGCGCCACUGGGUGGCCGACACCUGCCAGGCACCUCACACGCUCCGCUGCAGUUCAUCCUGCACUUUACUUACCCUUGAGUCCCCCUAUCUCUGAUCAUUGUCACUGGUUCCUAGGAAACUGACACUCGGGUCACAAAACUCAUCCAAGGUGUCACAGAACAAAUAAAGGACAAAGCCAGGGACCAAACUAAAGUCAACCUCUGCCUUUCUACAAUGCCAGGCUGCUCACCGUCAAGCAACUUGGCGGUGUCACCGAACUCUGCACCGGUGUACUGAGGUGAACAGCAUCCCCCAAAAUUCAUGUCCUUCCCAGGACCUCAGAAUCCAGCCUUCUUUGCAAAUCAGAUCAUUGUGAAAGUUCUAAGUUAAAACGGGGUCAUGCUGGGGUAGGGAGGGUCCUUAAUUCAAUAUGACUUGUGUCCUUCUGAGACACAGAGGCACAUGGGGGGCCAAGUGACAACAGAGGCAGCGAUUGGAGUGCAGGGCCACAGGCCGAGGAAGGCCGCCAACCACCGGAGCUGGGGACGGGCAGGGAACAGAGUCCUGCUCUGAGGCCCCAGAAGGAACAACCCUGACGACGCCUUGAUUUCUGCCUUCUCGGCUCCAGAACCAAGAGGGAGCCCAUUGCUGGUGUUUUCGGCCCUCCAGUUUGUGGUGAUUUGUUCCACAGCCCCUAAAAAACAAAUACAACCAGUUGGGAAUACUCAGUCACGAGCAACAAGAAUCCCCACAGCGUCUCCACGUGGCUGCACGUAUUGGAUGGAGAUCACGCCCAGGAUUCCUGCAGGAAGAAAGCAGACGGCUGAGAGCCUCCUCUUUGUAUUCGGCAAGACCAGGCUCCGUAGCCCUCAGGGAAACAUUUGACCAGAACUGCGGUGUGUGGGCCCCACUGUUUGCUAGAGAGCCUGAGAGAUGAGUCAUUGGUUUCUAGCCUGGAGAAAGACGCCUGCGAGGCGAGACUGUCAGGGUCUCUGCCGCCCUCCCCAGGAGCUGUGUCCCUGAGGUGAGACGCCACCCCUGCCCUCACAGCUACCCGGUGCAUGACCCCUGUGUCCAGCCUGUCCCUGAGAAACUGAUUUCCUCACCUCUCUCAGCCUCCUCCCUCAUCAAAUAUUUGUCGGAGGCAUUAUCAAGGAUCAAACCGGUUUGAUCCAGUGCAGUGCAGGAAACGCGGGCAGGGUGGAGGGGCCUGGUCUUGCUGACCAAGUUCCUCGCUGUGAGCCUCGGUUUCCCCUUCUGCAAAGUGUGGAGAUCUCAUCAGGUGAUGAGUGAGGCCCCUCCUCCUCCUUCAGUUUCCUGCUCCUGCCCAGGCCUCCGCCAGCUCCCAGUGUCCUUGGGCGAGUGCUGCGGGGACCCUGAACCGCACAUGGCUGGGGCUCCUCACCCUGCAGCCCCUCACUGCCUCACCGUGCACAUCCGCGUCUCACACCAGCGGCCAUGUGGGCCUCAAAAGGGCAAACCUGACGGUGCCUCUUGCGGCUGAUAACUCUCCAGACCAUUGACCUGGCGCAACAGGAUCACCUGGGAGGUGCUGGGCCAGCCCAGCCACUGAACGGGCAGCUCUGCCUGGGUGCGGCCCAGCAAGAGCUAGUUCUUAAAAUCACCUAGGAGCUCGGACGUGUGGCUGGCUCUGCGAGGCCCAGAACUACAGGAUCAAGCCCCUGAGGGGCCUUCCCUGGUUGGUGCCCUCCUCCCCCUCCAGCCCAUCUCCACCCUGGACCCCUGCUGCCCAUCCCAACUUCUUGAUUCCCCUGAGCACUGACUGGUUGUUUGUGCCUUGUUCCUCACUGUCCCACAUCCCAAGGCACCGACUCCUCCAAGCCUGCCUCCCACUCCACUCCCACUUCACUCCCCGCCCAUGCCCUUACCGGGCAUGAGUUCCUCCACCCCCCAGCGCAGGCCCCGGCCUCCUCCUGGCCUCUCUGCUUCUCCCCUUCCCAGUCACCUCUUCCUUGCCACCUCCUCCAUGCACAUGGCGCCCUCCGUGGCUGGUGACUCCCUGACACCAGGAUCCCAGUCUCGCUCAUCGUGCAUCCCUCAGCCCAGCGCAGGGACUGGAGAGCUCGGAUCAACUUACAGCUCCCACCUGCUUGGGCCGGUGCUGGAUCUGGGGCUACACUCGAGGGGCCGUCUGUCGCAUCUGCUGAGCACAGAUGUCUGGAGAAGCCCCCAUCUGGUCCAGAUUCCAGAGGACAGAGGAGUCACUUCCAGAGCUGUUCCCAUGACACUCAGGACAGGCUGAGCCUCACCUGCCCCACUGCAUAACUUGUGUUUUCCUGAAACCUCCUGAUCCCCACCUGGGUCCGACUUACUGGGGAUGUCUCCUGCCUGCCCAUCUCCGUGGCGAUAGGGCGGCCUUGCCGAAACAAGGCCACAUCCUGGCCUUCCCGGGGGUUGACUGCUGGGCCCCUUCCUGUCAGCGGUUGCUCUUUACCCUGGUUAACAUGUAGAAGCUCGUGGUUCGAGCUCUUCAUC